rnacentral:rRNA from 1 species
GAUGAACGCUGGCGGCGUGCUUAACACAUGCAAGUCGAACGGGAAACCUUUUAUUGCAGCUUCGGCAGAUUUCGCUGGUUUCUAGUGGCGGACGGGUGAGUAACGCGUGGGUAACCUGACUUAUACAGGGGGAUAACAGUCAGAAAUGGCUGCUAAUACCGCAUAAGCGCACAGAGCUGCAUGGCUCAGUGUGAAAAACUCCGGUGGUAUAAGAUGGACCCGCGUUGGAUUAGCUGGUUGGUGGGGUAACGGCCCACCAAGGCGACGAUCCAUAGCCGGCCUGGGAGGGUGGACGGCCACAUUGGGACUGAGACACGGCCCGGACUCCUACGGGAGGCAGCAGUGGGGAAUAUUGCACAAUGGGGGAAACCCUGAUGCAGCGACGCCGCGUGAAGGAAGAAGUAUCUCGGUAUGUAAACUUCUAUCAGCAGGGAAGAUAAUGACGGUACCUGACUAAGAAGCCCCGGCUAACUACGUG